UGUAAAGCACUUUAAGCAGGAAAGAAAAGCGCCGGAUUAAUACUCCGAGCGUAUUGACGGUACCUGCAGAAUAAGCUCCGGCUAACUCCGUGCCAGCAGCCGCGGUAAUACGGAGGGUGCAAGCGUUAAUCGGAAUUACUGGGCGUAAAGCGUGCGUAGGCGGUUGCGUGUGUCAAAUGUGAAAGCCCCGGGCUCAACCUGGGAAUUGCAUCCGAAACUGCGUGACUAGAAUAUGGUAGAGGAAGAUGGAAUUCCACGUGUAGCGGUGAAAUGCGUAGAUAUGUGGAGGAACACCAAUGGCGAAGGCAAUCUUCUGGGCCAAUAUUGACGCUGAGGUACGAAAGCGUGGGUAGCAAACAGGAUUAGAUACCCUGGUAGUCCACGCCGUAAACGAUGAGAACUAGACGUUGGCUGACAUAGUCGG
rnacentral:rRNA from 1 species